UGUGUUUUACAUUAUGGGCUUAGGUAAGGUCCCCUGCCUGUACAUUAGUGGAGUCGGAUUAGCUGAGCAAGUGUGUUGUCUGAGACAGAGUGCCCCCACUGGGCAGAGGUCCUUCUCAUAGUGGAUCCAGUUGAGCAGUGCAUAUUCUCACUGCCACUGGAGAGAAGGGUCGACAACUUCCUCUCCCUUGUGUUCCCACUGUCACUGGGAAGAAAUAACACUUGUAUUCUCUCCAUGGUACUCACGUCGUUGCUGGGGAGGGACAACACCCUCUUCUCCCAGGCUCUCACACUGCCGUUGGGAAAAGAUGCCGCCUGCAUCCUCUUCAGGUCCGCCUUCAGGUCCACCU